rnacentral:rRNA from 1 species
UACGUAGGGACCAAGCGUUGUUCGGAUUUACUGGGCGUAAAGGGCGCGUAGGCGGCAUGCCAAGUCACUUGUGAAAUCUCCGGGCUUAACUCGGAACGGUCAAGUGAUACUGUCGCGCUAGAGUGCGGAAGGGGCAAUCAGAAUUCUUGGUGUAGCGGUGAAAUGCGUAGAUAUCAAGAGGAAUACCUGAGGUGAAGACGGGUUGCUAGGCCGACACUGACGCUGAAGCGCGAAAGCCAGGGGAGCAAACGGG